UUUAAAUUCGUAAAUUUUUUAUUCAUGCAUUAAAUAAUGCAAGCAAUGACAUAUUCCACUUUUACAGUACUUCUGACUAUUAAAGCUAAUGUCACGAAAAGCUAUCUGUAUUGUUCAUGGUGGUAGACGAAACUCUGGAUGCUAUAUUUGGAGAUGCUGAUAACAUUUCCCCAAGACUAGAUAUAUUAUCAACUCUUUAUUUCCCUUGGCACUACUUAAUGUGACACCAGUAUAUUUCCAGAAUGACAUUCCUGUCAAAUUAUUUUUAGAGAUGAAAAUAGGCUACAAAGUUCUUUGUAAACAUUAAUGCAAAACUCAACAGAGUAACCUGAAAUCAAAUGUGUGGCUAAACAAGCAUUUAUUCAUGUUUGAACUGUUUUUUUUUUACAUUUUUGUUUGAGUUAUGAACAUUAUAAAUUGAAGUACAAUUUAGUCAGUACUGCGCAUGCGCAGAUUGCGCCCACGCAAAUAAUUGGAUCCAUUCCUGUCUUUAACGGCAUGUAAAAUGGCAGCUUUCUGAUGAUUGUAUCACAAAACUAGCUACUACUGCAGAAACUAGAGAGAUCUAUGACGACCCUUGACGACAUGAAUAUAAGAAGGAGAA